GCCGUUCUUCUGCCUCAGCCUCGCUAGUAGCUGGGACUACAGGCGCCCGCCAUCAUGCCCGGCUAAUUUUUUUUGUAUUUUUAGUAGAGACAGGGUUUCACCGUGUUAGCCAGGAUGGUCUCGAUCUCCUGACCUUCUGAUCCGCCUGCCUCAGCCUCCCAAAGUGCUGGGUUUACAGGCGUGAGCCACGGCGCCCGGCCUUGAGACACUUUCGGGAACUUUAAAAGAUGCCUACCACCAUUUGUCUCUCAUGAAGAUGUGAACUGCGACUGGAAACAGCUCAGUCUCUCACAGGGAAAGCACAAUGACACAGAAGGAAAUAUAGAAGUCCCCAAAUUAGGAAUCUUGGAUUUUAGACCCAGUGUUCCCUUAACUGCUUAAAGUGUGACCUCAAGCCAUAUACUGACAUCAACACUUAGGAAGAAAUAGGACUGCAAUGAGGACAAAACCUGUUACAGGGAAAGGAAAUGAUAGAGGCCUGGAAAACAAAGCAAAUAACAAGAGUCAGAUGUUGAAGGAAUAGAGGGAAAUAUACUAAGAGGAAAAAAUAAGAGGCGUACACAUGGCCAGGAGUAAUUUGAGUUACCAGAGGAAGCAUGGACCUGUAACUGACAGAGUGAGGAUUGUGCUCCAGAAGUAAAACAUAGUUUCAAAGCAACAGACAGGGAUUCAUAAGGGGCAGAAAAACAGCUCUCCAAAGAUGUCUACAUGAAAAUCCUGACUCUGCGAAUGUAUUACUUUACACAGCAAAAGGAAUUUGGCAGCUGUGAUUUAAUCGAAGAUCAUGAGAUGGAAAGAUUAUUAUCUGUGUGCAUCUAACAUAAUCACAAAGGUCCUUUUAAUGUGAAAGAGGAAGACAGGAGAGUCAGAGGGUCAGAGAAGAUGUGAAUACAGAAGCAGAGGUCACAACGACGUGAGAAAGGCACAUCUGGCUUUGAAGAUAGAGGGGCGAUGUGCCGAGGAAUGCAGGAAGCCUAAAAAGCUGAAAUAAGCAAGAAGUGGAUUCUUUCCUGCUGCUGCCAGAAGGGACAUACCCCUGCAGACACCUUGAUUUUUGCCCCAUAAUACUCUUUUUAGAUUUCUGACUCAUAGAAAUAUAAGAUAAUAAAUUUGCUUUGUUGUAAGCCACUAAGUUAGUGGUAAACGGUAAGUUUGUAAAGCAAUAAGAAAUGAACAGACAUUUAAGAAUAUUAUUUUAAGUCUAUGCUUAGACUUUUCCCAAGAAUAUUUAUGCAAUGGGAUUAUAUUCUAGUUUUAUAACUGAGUUAAUUUAUAUAGCAAUAUAUCAUAAAUGUCUCUUCAAAUUAAUACAUGCACAUCUAUGGUAAUAACUAUGAAUUACUAUGUAGUAUAUUUUAUGUAUAUAUUAUAGUUAUUAAUCAAUCUGAAAUUGUGAGGCC
ensembl:lncRNA novel transcript